UUAAUUGAAGCCAAAAUAGCGGCAUAUCACUGUUAAUGAUAUAACUGAAUUUAAUUCCAAUUAAA
rnacentral:tRNA from 1 species